rnacentral:rRNA from 1 species
CGCGGUAAUACGGAGGGGGCAAGCGUUAUUCGGAAUCAUUGGGCGUAAAGGGCGUGUAGGCGGCUUUGCAAGUCCUUAUGUGAAAGCCCUCGGCUCAACCGAGGAAUCGCAUGGGAAACUGUGAGGCUUGAGUCCGGGAGAGGAGAGUGGAAUUCCCAGUGUAGCGGUGAAAUGCGUAGAUAUUGGGAGGAACACCGGUGGCGAAGGCGGCUCUCUGGACCGGUACUGACGCUGAGACGCGAAAGCCAGGGGAGCAAACGGGAUUAGAUACCCCGGUAGUCCUGGCUGUAAACGAUGAGCACUUGGUGUGGCGGGUAUCGACCCCUGCUGUGCCGAAGCUAACGCAUUAAGUGCUCCGCCUGGGGAGUACGGCCGCAAGGCUGAAACUCAAAGGAAUUGACGGGGGCCCGCACAAGCGGUGGAGCAUGUGGUUCAAUUCGACGCAACGCGAAGAACCUUACCUGGGUUUGAACCGCAGGUGACAGCUCUAGAAAUAGAGUUUUCCUUCGGGACACCUGUAGAGGUGCUGCAUGGCUGUCGUCAGCUCGUGUCGUGAGAUGUUGGGUUAAGUCCCGCAACGAGCGCAACCCCUACCCCUAGUUGCCAGCGGCUCGGCCGGGAACUCUAGGGGGACUGCCGGUGAUAAACCGUGAGGAAGGUGGGGAUGACGUCAAGUCCUCAUGGCCUUUAUGUCCGGGGCUACACACGUGCUACAAUGGGCGGUACAAAAGGGCUUGCGAAGGCGCGAGCCCGGAGCCAAUCCCAAAAAACCGUCCUCAGUUCAGAUCGUAGUCUGCAACUCGACUGCGUGAAGGUGGAAUCGCUAGUAAUCGCGGAUCAAGCAUGCCCGCGGUGAAUACCGUUCCCGGGCCUUGUACACACCCGCCCGUCACAUUACGAAAGUCGGCUUGUACCGGAAGUCGCUUGAAGCCACCCGCAGGGAAGCAGGUGCCUAAAGUAUGGUCGGCGAAUGGGGUGAAGUC